GCUCUGUAUAUACUAUUGGACAAAUUGCUGUCUGGUUAGACCUUUACCUUUGUCGUUUGUACUACUAUAACUUUCCCUUACUGAUGUAGGACAAAAUGGCAAGUUUGAAUGAGAAACUUAUUAAAGCUGCUCGUGACGGAAGUUUAACAGAUUUGAAACUUUUCAUUGAAAAGGGCGCUGAUUUAGAAUACAGAGGUGAAG